rnacentral:lncRNA from 1 species
AUUUUUUCAGUUUAUUCUAGUUCUCUAAAUUAUUUGUCCUCUCCUCUCUCUCCUUCUUGGGCUCUAUAAAUAUGAAUAUCAGACUUUUUUUAUUGUUGCACAAGUCUCAAAGUGUCACCGUUUCCCUACAUUUUCCCUCUGUUUCUCAGGUUGCAUACUUCCAUUUCACAGACUAUCUUCUGCCGGAGAACCCAUUUACUCAGUUUUCUUCAUUCAAUUUGAGAUCAUCCUGGUUAUGGAAUUGCUAGAGAUUUUUCACUGGAACCUACACAUUUUCUUAUUAUGUUCUGAGAAUACAUGCCAGAAACGUGGGCUCCUCAUUUCAUAAGAAGUUAAUCUUCAAAGUACAUAAGAAACUCCAACAACUCAAUAAUAAGAAAAUAAACAACCUGAUUAAAAAAUGGGCAAAGGACCUGACCAGAUAUUUCUCAAGAAAAGAUAUACAAGUGACUAGCAGUGUGAAAGUGACAAGGAUCCAGUAGAGACUGUAUUUCGAAGUUUGAAUUUUGAUCUUUCCUGGUUGGUGGUAUGUAGUAUUGUCCUUCUUUACAGUGCUGGGCAGUGGCAGCCAGCUGGAGCUCCUAGUCAGUGGCAUGAGG